rnacentral:piRNA from 1 species
UUUGAGUUUUGAAUUCUUUCUCUGACAUGG